AUUGAACGCUGGCGGCAGGCCUAACACAUGCAAGUCGAGCGAGCGGCGGACGGGUGAGUAAUGUAUGGGGACUGCCCGAUAGAGGGGGAUAACUACUGGAAACGGUAGCUAAUACCGCAUACUAUCGGAUAACCCAUAUGGGAUUAGCUAGUAGGUGGGGUAAAGGCUCACCUAGGCGACGAUCCCUAGCUGGUCUGAGAGGAUGAUCAGCCACACUGGGACUGAGACACGGCCCAGACGCCUACGGAGGCAGCAGUUGGGAAGAUUGCACAAUGGGCGCAAGCCUGAUGCAGCCAUGCCGCGUGUGUGAAGAAGGCCCUAGGGUUGUAAAGUACUUUCAGUGGGGAGGCGUUACCGGCAGAAGAAGCACCGGCUAACUCCGUGCCAGCAGCCGCGGUAAUAC
rnacentral:rRNA from 1 species